CUAAAUGUAUUCAUUUUAGAUCAAGACAUCAAAGAGGGAGAAUCAAGCAAAGGCAAAGCAAAGAUAAUCGAGUAGUCGAUUGGGAAUCAUUUCAUCCAAUAUAAGGUUUCUUGGACUCGUCCUUUUGCGUGCUCGUGAUCGUCAUGGAAGUCAUCACACCGGCUAGCAACUUUUGGUAUCUUUUUUUGUAGUCGGUCUAGGAGAACAUUUUGGCAUGUAUAGGCUAAUAUGCUUUGUUGAACUUUGGUAUGUAAACUUUUAGCCAUGCGAAAAUGGCAUAAAUGUUCGGUUGGA